UACGUAGGUGACAAGCGUUGUCCGGAUUUACUGGGCGUAAAGAGCGCGCAGGCAGUCGUUCAAGUCGAGUGUGAAAGCCCCCGGCUCAACUGGGGAGGGUCAUUCGAUACUGAUCGACUCGAAGGCAGGAGAGGGAAGUGGAAUUCCCGGUGUAGUGGUGAAAUGCGUAGAUAUCGGGAGGAACACCAGUGGCGAAGGCGACUUCCUGGCCUGUUCUUGACGCUGAGGCGCGAAAGCUAGGGGAGCAAACGGG
rnacentral:rRNA from 1 species